GACAGAGGGUGCAAACGUUGCUCGGAAUUACUGGGCGUAAAGCGCGUGUAGGCGGGGAGAUAAGUCGGGGGUGAAAUCCCUGGGCUCAACCUAGGAACUGCAUUCGAAACUGUCUUUCUGGAGUGAUGGAGAGGAAAGCGGAAUUCUCGGUGUAGAGGUGAAAUUCGUAGAUAUCGGGAGGAACACCAGUGGCGAAGGCGGCUUUCUGGCCAUCAACUGACGCUGAGACGCGAAAGCGUGGGGAGCAAACAGG
rnacentral:rRNA from 1 species